UACGUAGGGUGCGAGCGUUGUCCGGAAUUAUUGGGCGUAAAGAGCUCGUAGGCGGUGUGUCGCGUCGGCUGUGAAAACCUGCAGCUUAACUGUGGGCUUGCGGUCGAUACGGGCAUCACUGGAGUUCGGCAGGGGAGACUGGAAUUCCUGGUGUAGCGGUGAAAUGCGCAGAUAUCAGGAGGAACACCGGUGGCGAAGGCGGGUCUCUGGGCCGAUACUGACGCUGAGGAGCGAAAGCGUGGGGAGCGAACAGG
rnacentral:rRNA from 1 species